GCUCUCUGAGGAGCCGCCAAGGGGCUAUUUUAAGACCUUGAUUAAGCCUCAUGGACUCUUCAUUGAAGCCCCCACCACACGGCAUCAAACACAGGGACACGCACCCUCCACCCAGUGAACACAGUGACCUGUCACUAUAUGCGAGGGCAAACAACCAGUGGAAAUAGGGUAACGGCUACCUCCCCCAGCUGUAGAGGUGGCUCCCAGAGCCUCGGCUGACAUCAGGCCGACAACCAAAUGCCUCAGCUCCAGGCUGGCAAGAAGAUGCCCUGGUUCCCAACUGGCCAGAUGAUGCUGCAUCUCUGUGCUGUCUGCCAAGGCUCCAGUCUGGUCAAGGAACAGCAAGGAUUGCAAGCAAACAUUAGAAUACAAGGGAGACAAGGAAGGAUUCUCUCCUAGAGCUUCUGGAGGAAGCAAGCUGAGCACUCUGACACCUUUAUUUCAGACUUGAGCCUCCGGA